ensembl:lncRNA
GCCGCAUUAGGAGAUAGGAUCCAAGCAAGUGUCGCUCAAAUGAGCACAUGACCGAAUGACAUCACUUUAGGGCACGCAGCGCGUAUCCAUGGCAACGCUCAGCUGCGUAGUGACAGUUAACGGACAUUUCGGUGAUUCCCUCAAACACGGCCUUGAGUUUUCACUUUUGUUUGGUCGAAAAGGUUAGAAGACAAUGGGAAGAAUUGCCAUCGGAUCGGACUAACCACAGCUGACAACCAGAGAUGCACACACACACCCAUCCACUAACACACACACACACACACACACACACACACACACACACACACACACACACACACACACGAAAAGAGCACUGCAACUUUACAAUUGGUCAAGUACCCAUGAUUCGAGGAUCCUAAAUUGGGAGAACUCAUUGGAUUAAAGAUUUAUUUUGUUAAAUAAACACUAUCAUAGUGUUAAUUUGAGUGAUUGCAGUGAAGUUAUUAUGGGUUAAAGGAAAGUAUCUAUAUAACCAGAGUAAAGGGUUUCAGUGGUUUCAUUGGGUUGAUUUAAUUUGACCUAUAAGGGCAAUUUUAAAAGUUAACAUCUUUACUUUCUAAUCAGUGAUUGAGGAGAGGGACCUAAGUUUAUUUAGUCGAGAGACUGUCCCAUAUCGAACCCAAGUGCCCAUCCUAAGUGCUCAGGUAAGCCACCCUGAGGAGGAAGAGGGUGCUACAUUUGAAUUGUACUGUAUACGUAAAAAUGUACGUAAAAGUAAGUUUAUGCAAUGCAUCAAUGCAAAUGUUGUAUAAAUACAAAGGUUAGGAAUCAUAUUUGUUUCAAGUGCUUUUUAUUGUGGGUGGGGGCGCUCCAACAUGAAUUUUGCCUUGGGCCUCCAAAUGUCUAGAACCGGCCCUAUCCUUUUUUUUCCCCCCUCCAUCGAAACAUGCUUUACAGAAACAGACUAUUCCAAGCAAAUCAUUUCACAAAAAGGUAUUUUCCCAUUAAAAGAGACGUGCUUUAAAAAAUUUGCACAUGCAAAAUAUCUGCCUAUAUUUAUCUGAAGUUCAGAAGUUUAUCUAAUAUAAUUCAUUACAAAAUAUAAAUAUUCAAAUAUGCAAAGUUUCUGCAGCUUCUGAAGGAUCUUGAUCAUCCUUUCUUCUUUCUGACAAAACAGUUUAAUGUACUUGUGUGUCACAUUUGGUAUCUGAUGGCAUAGGAUAGUUUUGUUUAAUAAAGAUAGAGAGAAAUCAAUUUGUUAAUAACUGGUCUGUUGUUAGUAGAUGGCCUUUCACUUUUUUUUUUUUUUUAAGUUGCUAUGGAAAUUGCAGUAGCAUUUGCCGUUCCGGUGUUUUUGUAAUAGAACCCAUUGGAGCAGAACUCCCUGACAUUUGUUGUCCAUGUCCUGCUAGAGCAGAUCUUCCUAACCCUUUAUUUCCUUGUCGCACUAUAUCAGAACUCUCUAAUUGCCAUGACACUGCAGCAAAACCCUCUGCCCCUUGUAGUUUAUGUCUCACUGAGGCAGAACUCCUUGAAUCUUGCUGUCCCAUUGUAGCAGAACUCCCUAACCCUUGCAGUUCCUGUCCCAUUGUAGCAGAACUCCCCAACCCUUGCAGUUCCUGUCCCAUUGUAGCAGAACUCCCCAACCCUUGCAGUUCCUGUCCCAUUGUAGCAGAACUCCCUGACCCUUGCAGUUCCUGUCCCAUUGUAGCAGAACUCCCUGACCCUUGCAGUUCCUGUCCCAUUGUAGCAGAACUCCCUAACCCUUGCAGUUCCUGUCCCAUUGUAGCAGAACUCCCUAACCAGUGCAGUUCCUGUCCCAUUGUAGCAGAACUCCCCAACCCUUGCAGUUCCUGUCCCAUUGUAGCAGAACUCCCCAACCCUUGCAGUUCCUGUCCCAUUGUAGCAGAACUCCCUGACCCUUGCAGUUCCUGUCCCAUUGUAGCAGAACUCCCUGACCCUUGCAGUUCCUGUCCCAUUGUAGCAGAACUCCCUGACCCUUGCAGUUCCUGUCCCAUUGUAGCAGAACCUAUUGGACAUACACAGGAAAACUGUAAAUAUCAAAACCACAUUAAGUACAACAUAAUCAUUUGCAGUCAUUUCCAGUUCAUUGUAUUUAAGCCUUAAAUUUGUAAUAUACCUCAUAAACGUAUUAUUAAAAGAAGUCGGGGGCUAAUGGUAAGAUAGUUGGACUUGUAACCGAAAGGUUGAGGGUCGAGUCUCGUACCGGCAGGGAUUUUAGGUGGGGGGAAUGAAUGUACAGCACUCUAUCCCACCUUCAAUGCCAUGACUGAGGUGCCCUUGUGCAAGGCACCGAACCCCCAACUGCUCCCCGGGCGCCGCAGCAAAACAAUGGCUUCCCACUGCUCUGGGUGAGUGUUCAAUACUUUGUGUGUGUGUUCACUGCUGUGUGUGUGCGCUUUGGAUGGGUUAAAUGUAGAGCGCUUAUU